GAGAAACCAUAAAAAGAUCAUCUCCCAUCUACUUCAAUGUUUUGAAAUUAUGGAUGCUCCCAUGUCUAUUAAAAUUGACAAAGGGCCAGCCUAUACCAGCAAGACAUUUCAAGUGAUUUGCAAUGGUUAGUAUAUACAGCACUUAACUGGGAUUCCCUAUAACCCUUAGACUCAAGGCAUCAUAGAAAGAACACACAAGGAAUUAAAGGUCAUGCUGCAAAACAGAGGGGGAAACUAUACCAAGUCCCCUCAUGAUGCCUUUAAAGAAUCUUAUUUGCUUUAAAUUUUCUUUCACUUUCAAAAAUUUCUAUAUAAGUAGCAGCCCCUAAGCAUUGGCCCCCCUCUUGGGGCCCUCCCAUCUACCUAUGGUUUCAUGAAAGAAUCCCAUAAAAAAUGCAUGCGAUGGUCUGGGGCCCCUCUUAACCAUGGGUGGAGGGCAUAUGUUAACAAGAGCCUUAUCCCAUCUGGGUGCCUGCCCGAAAGUUAAGCCCUGGACCCCAGAACCACCAACCAAGAAGAUGAAGGAACCAACUCUGGAGGAGAAACCUCACAAGAAAAGACCUCAACAAUGCAAACGGCCCUCACAUAAAGUAACCUGGGGUGAUAUUGAAGGUCUUGUUGACUGAGCCAGUGGAUUGGCCCCUCUGCCUGGUGGCAACCCCAUCCCUGGGCCUAUGACAAUGGUCCUAGUGUGUUCAAUGCUCACCUCUAACAGUGAAACCUCCCAUGAGUUAAAUUGAGCUUUGGUCACUAGGCCACCACCUUUAGCAGUGGCUAAUUGGGAAGGGGCUUUAUCCAAGCUCUUCUCUAAUAAUUCCAACCUUAUUGAUCCUGAGUUAUCCAUCCAGGAGAUAACUGUACCCUGGAACACUAGCCUUUCCAUACCUACUCUGCCCAUUUGUCUCUCCAUAGUAUAUAAUAAAACCUAUAAUCCAGGCAGUUCUCUGUUUUGCUCUUGCCAAUAAAACUAUUGUAGAUAACUAUAAUAAGUCAUAUAUUGGGCUAUCUCUCAAUGACCUUAAAGUUAUACUCAAUGUUACCUAUACCCAUAGACUCCCCCAUGGCAAAUGCAAGAAACCCUUGCUGCCAACAUGCCCAACAAUUCUUUUAGAAAGCCCCCCCCUCAGAUAAUGAUAGCAUCCCAUGGAAUCAAUGUGUCACUGCCACACCUUAUCUCCUAGAUAAGAGGAAUUUCUCCAAGGAAGAACAAUAUCUAUGUGCCUGGGCAGGCGCAGCUCCCUGGAAUGUAACUAAUGUGCCCCCAAACAAUAUGGGCUACUGUA
rnacentral:lncRNA from 1 species